rnacentral:tRNA from 1 species
GAUCAUGCAGGGCAAGGACCCGAUGGUCGUGCUGAAGACCGAAUACAGCCGCGUCGGCCGUGGUGCCGCCACCGUGCGCAUGAAGAUG